rnacentral:tRNA from 1 species
UAUCAGGCAUCUUCAUUAAAGAAGUGGCUUGCAACACGGAUGUUGUACAUUAACGAUGA